CCCUAAACCGGCAAGGUAUGUAGGGUGUCUCGUUAGAUGGCAUUGUGGCUGGGCUCUGUUGGAAUCGGUAGCUCGAUCGUGGGAUACAGGCGCAUCGCCAUGUCGCCUCACGUCCGCUGCGGAGCAGCAGCCGACCCAAAUGGAUCGAAUGGGGCUUUUCGGGCCCGGGACGAUCAAUCCAGCUUCCGGGCGAGCAGGAUCACGGAGCAGGCCAAGGACACCAGCCUGAGCAGCUUCGAAGGGAGCGAGAUCAACGCGCCGUUUGGGUUUGGCCAGUACUCCCACAAGAGCGCCGAGCCGCAGGAGGACAAGAGCCGGGCGAGCUUUGAAGGAAUCGACAAGCAUUCUCCCGCCAAGGAUUCUCGCUCUCCUGCCGUGGACGAAGAACAGUGGAAGAGUGUCUUCCCUGCCUACAUCCAGAGUGGAGGUGGGGAUGAUCACUGUGGCGAUGGAGUCGUUGGUGGCGAAGUCUCGGCGGCCAAGGCAGCCGCCGAGUCCGUGAAAGAGCUCGAGUCACACGUAAGUACUCCAUUGUCAGCGCCACCUUGUUCCAGUGCCAAGCCUCCAAAAGAAGGUGGAAGAAAUCUCUCCGAGCUUAUAACUCACGAUCCAAUCUGGGCAGCAAUCCGGGCCGAAGCACGGCUUGAGGCAGAGAAAGAGCCACUUCUGAGCAGUUUUCUGUAUGCUAGUAUACUGGCUCAUCCUUGUUUCGAGCGCUCUGUGGGCUUUGUUCUCGCCAACCGGCUGAAGAAUGUGACCCUCUUGGCGACGCAGCUCUUGGACGUUUUCGACGAUGUCUUCACGCACGAGCCUCAAGUCCAGGAAGCUAUUCGUCUGGAUGUCCAGGCCGUGAGAAGUCGCGAUCCAUCGUGCAGAUCUUACAGUUCGGCUCUCCUGUACUUAAAGGGCUAUCACGCUUUGCAAUCCUACAGAGUAGCUCAUGCGCUUUGGAAUCGCGGGCAGCGAGUGUUGGCGCUCGCAUUGCAAAGCAGAAUCAGUGAGGUGUUUGCUGUAGAUAUCCAUCCAGCUGCGCGAAUCGGGAAAGCUAUAAUGCUUGACCACGGAACGGGCGUAGUGAUCGGAGAGACUUGUGUUAUAGGCGAUAGAGUUUCCUUGAUGCAGGGUGUCACUUUAGGUGGAUCGGGCAAAGAAGCCGGUGACAGGCAUCCCAAAAUCGAAGAAGGGGUGCUCAUUGGAGCUGGAGCAACGAUCCUAGGCAACAUAAGAAUCGGUCGUUGCUCCAUGGUCGCUGCUGGAUCACUGGUUCUUAAAGAUGUGCCUCCACACAGUGUAGCGGCUGGAACUCCUGCCAAAGUCGUAGGAACUCUAGAAGAGCCCACUCCUGCCUUGACGAUGAAACACGAUGCAAUGAGCUGCCAAAUUUCCGACGACAGUCUCUGUGAAGGCGCUGGAAUAUAAGAUGGACAAUUAGAAAGAGAAUCUGUACAUAUAUAAAAGCUGGUAUGUAUUGGUUAGUUGGAAUACUCGAUUCCAGAUCCACGAAAACUCUGGAUUUGUGCUGGCCAGGAGUGCAAUGCACUGCUGGACAUGGCUUAAUUCAUCGUUGAUUGUCCUUUAUUUCGUGAGUUUUCCAAGUGUUUUUCUAUAUGGAUUGCUUAAAGAACUUGUCUUGUUUAAAUUGCGGCGUUGUUGGAGAAAGUUGUGCCUUGAAGCAGGGUGUUACUUUAGGUGGAUAAGUUUUCGGACAAAAUGUGCUACGAACUAGAAGAAGCUUCCCAUCAGGUCUAGCCUCGAUCGCUAAUGGUUUUAUUUGUAGGAACAACGUCUUAUUUGAAGCUAAAACAGAGAGUUCUAAGCAAAACAUCUGAUCCUAGCUCCGGCCAAUGAGGUGAAGAUAAGGCCUUUUGGGGGUAUUGUUCCCAAUCCACCUUUUCUCCUCUCUAGAGUCUCUGGGUAUUGAGAUGGCAGCCAUGGCGACACAAGCAGCAUUGCCUGGCACCAUUGUUGGUCGUGAGUUCCAGGGCCUCAAAGCCAGCACCCGCUUCAGCCGUGCUCAGACCACCACCCUCGCCCUGCCGUCGCUGAGAUGCAGAGGCAAAGGAGCUCUCGGAGCUCGAUGCGGCUUCAUCGGAUCACCCACGAAUCUGAUAAUGGUUGCUUGCACGACGUUGUCUCUCAUCGCGGGGCGAUUUGGAUUGGCACCGUCAGCCAACCGGCAGGCGCUGGCUGGGUUGAAGCUGGUGGACAGAGACUCGGGUCUCCAAACCGGUGAUCCCGCAGGAUUCACAGGAAGCGACACGGUCGCCUUCGGUGUGGUUGGCCACAUUGCGGGUGUUGGUAUUGUUCUUGGCCUUAAAGCCCUUGGAAGCAUUCCAUAGAGUGCCUGGGCACUUGUGUAUAUUCGUUGACAAGAAGGAACACGAAGAAAACAUUGGAUGAAA